rnacentral:misc_RNA from 1 species
GUAUUGAUUGCGUGUCAUCGCAAAAUGGGGUCAUUCUACACUUUUUAAAAGGGGUUUGUGUGAAAACGCAAGCACCCUCCUGGAUCGGUUUGAUCCCAAAGGGUGCCCACGCGGUGGUGCACAAAAGGGUGAGAUGGAUUUUAUGUGAGGAAACACACCCGGGCGUGCACGACAUUGAGUCAGCGACAGCCCUUGCAUGCCCCUCACAUUUUGUACGAUAAUGAUCCUUCCGCAGGUUCACCUACGGAAA